rnacentral:rRNA from 1 species
CAGUAGCCGCGGGAAAACAGAGGGUGCGAGCGUUAAUCGGAUUUACUGGGCGUAAAGCGUGCGUAGGCGGCUUCUUAAGUCGGAUGUGAAAUCCCUGAGCUUAACUUAGGAAUUGCAUUCGAUACUGGGAAGCUAGAGUAUGGGAGAGGAUGGUAGAAUUCCAGGUGUAGCGGUGAAAUGCGUAGAGAUCUGGAGGAAUACCGAUGGCGAAGGCAGCCAUCUGGCCUAAUACUGACGCUGAGGUACGAAAGCAUGGGGAGCAAACAGGAUUAGAUACCCGAGUAGUCCCUGUCUCUUAUAC